CGCGGCGAAGAGUGGUUCCGGAGGGCGUGAGGCGGUGCGAGGCCGGGCGCGGCGGUAACGAUAAAUAAUUUAAAUAUAGAUAAUUCACCGCAGGGCUGGACGGUGUCUGGAGCUGCUAGUGCAGUGGCGCCCGGCAAAGCCUAUUAAAAGUUGAGAAGUCGGGUCACUGUAUGAAUGGGAACAGCAGGAUGGCACAGCAAGCUCAUGUUUUACCAGCUUCCAUGGCUAUCAUUGGUGGGCUGAGGUACCUGUGGAUUACAGCCUUCUCACAGGAGCCCAAGUGAGGAAAGGAACAGAUCACCAUGAACUGGCAGACAGAACCUCCCUCCGCGCUGCCUCCAUGGCCACCAUGGCUCCAGGAGUCUCCAGAUGACGGGGAAACUGGACCAAAAAGACGCCUACUCCUGGCCAUUCUGCCUUGGUCAGAGGACCAGGUUGGAGAGCACUGAGUUGGACUCAUCCCUGGCUUCCUGCGGCCAUCUCUGCUUCUCUGUCCAUGGCUACAGCUGGGUUGAAGUGGCUGGUGGUGGCCAGUGCUGCCCUCCUACACCUCCAUGCUUGGGGCAGCUGUGCUUUUACGUGGGCCUCCCAGAGUCUAGAAAGUCAGCCUCACAAGUUUAGUGAUUCCUUCCACGUAAUGAACACCUGCUUCUGGCCGAGGAGUAGCUUGCAGUGGACCACUGCCUGCUGAGGACUCAAUGGCCACAACUCAGAAGGCAUCAGCUUGAAGGUCUGCAGUCACUCCAGCAGCCACGACUCAGAGGGGAGCUCAAGGAGGUAAGCCCUGCUUCUUGCACUGGCUUUUCCCCUCGGGGCUGGGUAAGGUGGCCGCCAAGAGGCAGAGAAGCUAGAGGAGCUCUGCACAGUUGUGCAGGGCUGGGAAGACCAAGCCGGGAAUCUGGGCAUGUGAGGAAUCAGGGCCUGAGGGCCAAGAUUCCUGGAGGAAGGAGGCCAGAGAAGUACAGUUGGCUCCUGCUUUUCCUUCUGUAGAGCUUCAGCCUUGGAAGGAAAGGGGGUGCUGUGAGAAGCUUUUUUGUGGGAGAGACGGGGCGGAGGGGAGGCGCCUGGGAACUUGGAGAACGUUUCCAGGGCAGCCUUGUUGGGAACAUGGCUAGCAC